rnacentral:rRNA from 1 species
GGAGGAAAAGAAACUAACAAGGAUUCCCCUAGUAACGGCGAGUGAAGUGGGAAAAGCUCAACUUUGAAAUCUGGUACUUUCAGUAUCCGAAUUGUAGUCUCAAGAAGUGUUUUCUGUGCCGGUCCAUGUAUGAGUCUGUUGGAACACAGCGUCAUAGAGGGUGACAACCCCGUUCAUGACAUGGAUCCCGGUGCUUUGUGAUACACUCUCGAAGAGUCGAGUUGUUUGGGAAUGCAGCUCAAAUUGGGUGGUAAAUUCCAUCUAAAGCUAAAUAUUGGCGAGAGACCGAUAGCAAACAAGUACCGUGAGGGAAAGAUGAAAAGCACUUUGGAAAGAGAGUUAACAGUACGUGAAAUUGUUGAAAGGGAAACGAUUGAAGUCAGACGUGCGUGAUGCGGUUCAGCUUUAGUUCGCUAGAGUGUACUCCGUAUCUUUGCAGGCCAACAUCGGUUUUGUUAGUCGGAUAAAGGUUUGAGAAAUGUGGCACCUUCGGGUGUGUUAUAGUCUCAGACUGAAUACGAUUGAUGGGACCGAGGAACGCAGCGCGCCGCAAGGCAAAGGUUCCGACCUUUUCGCGCUUAGGAUGUUGGUGAAAUGGCUUUAAACGACCCGUCU